rnacentral:rRNA from 1 species
AUUGAACGCUGGCGGCAUGCCUAACACAUGCAAGUCGAACGGCAGCGCGGGGAGCUUGCUCCCUGGCGGCGAGUGGCGGACGGGUGAGUAAUACUUAGGAAUCUGCCCAGUAGUGGGGGACAACCCGGGGAAACCCGGGCUAAUACCGCGUAAUCUCUUCGGAGGGAAGAGGGCCUCUUCUUGAAAGCUCUCGCUAUUGGAUGAGCCUAAGUCGGAUUAGCUUGUUGGUGGGGUAAAAGCCACCAAGGCGACGAUCCGUAGCUGGUCUGAGAGGACGAUCAGCCACACUGGGACUGAGACACGGCCCAGACUCCUACGGGAGGCAGCAGUGGGGAAUAUUGGACAAUGGGGGCAACCCUGAUCCAGCAAUGCCGCGUGUGUGAAGAAGGCCUGCGGGUUGUAAAGCACUUUNAGUAGAGAAGAAAAGCC